UAUUCCCCACUGCUGCCUCCCGUAGGAGUUUGGGCCGUGUCUCAGUCCCAAUGUGGCCGUUCACCCUCUCAGGCCGGCUACUGAUCGUCGGUUUGGUGGGCCGUUACCCCGCCAACUAACUAAUCAGACGCGGGCUCAUCUUACACCGAUGAAUCUUUUCUCGCUGAACCAUGCGGUCCCGUGGGCUUAUGCGGUAUUAGCAGUCGUUUCCAACUGUUGUCCCCCUGUGUAAGGCAGAUUACCCACGCGUUACUCACCCGUCCGCCACUAAGAGUUCCUCCGAAGAAAAACUCUCCGUUCGACUUGCAUGUGUUAGGCACGCCGCCAGCGUUCAUCCUGAGCCAA
rnacentral:rRNA from 1 species